rnacentral:rRNA from 1 species
GACGGAAGGUGCAAGCGUUGCUCGGAAUCACUGGGCGUAAAGGGUGCGUAGGCGGCCGUGCAAGUCUGGCGUGAAAGCCCCGGGCUCAGCCCGGGAAGUGCGCUCGAAACUGCGCGGCUCGAGUGCCGGAGGGGAGAGUGGAAUUCCUGGUGUAGCGGUGAAAUGCGCAGAUAUCAGGAGGAACACCGGUGGCGAAGGCGGGUCUCUGGGCCGUAACUGACGCUGAGGAGCGAAAGCGUGGGGAGCGAACAGG